rnacentral:rRNA from 1 species
GGUUAAGCGACUAAGCGUACACGGUGGAUGCCCUGGCAGUCAGAGGCGAUGAAGGACGUGCUAAUCUGCGAAAAGCGUCGGUAAGGUGAUAUGAACCGUUAUAGCCGGCGAUGUCCGAAUGGGGAAACCCAGUGCAAUUCGUUGCACUAUCGUUAACUGAAUACAUAGGUUAACGAGGCGAACCGGGGGAACUGAAACAUCUAAGUACCCCGAGGAAAAGAAAUCAACCGAGAUUCCCCCAGUAGCGGCGAGCGAACGGGGAGCAGCCCAGAGUCUGAAUCAGCUUGUGUGUUAGUGGAACGGUCUGGAAAGUCCGACGGUACAGGGUGAUAGUCCCGUACACCAAAAUGCACAGGCUGUGAACUCGAAGAGUAGGGCGGGACACGUGGUAUCCUGUCUGAAUAUGGGGGGACCAUCCUCCAAGGCUAAAUACUCCUGACUGACCGAUAGUGAACCAGUACCGUGAGGGAAAGGCGAAAAGAACCCCGGCGAGGGGAGUGAAAAAGAACCUGAAACCGUGUACGUACAAGCAGUGGGAGCACCUUCGGGUGUGACUGCGUACCUUUUGUAUAAUGGGUCAGCGACUUAUAUUCUGUAGCAAGGUUAACCGUAUAGGGGAGCCGCAGGGAAACCGAGUCUUAACUGGGCGUUAAGUUGCAGGGUAUAGACCCGAAACCCGGUGAUCUAGCCAUGGGCAGGUUGAAGGUUGGGUAACACUAACUGGAGGACCGAACCGACUAAUGUUGAAAAAUUAGCGGAUGACUUGUGGCUGGGGGUGAAAGGCCAAUCAAACCGGGAGAUAGCUGGUUCUCCCCGAAAGCUAUUUAGGUAGCGCCUCGUGAACUCAUCUUCGGGGGUAGAGCACUGUUUCGGCUAGGGGGUCAUCCCGACUUACCAACCCGAUGCAAACUACGAAUACCGAAGAAUGUUAUCACGGGAGACACACGGCGGGUGCUAACGUCCGUCGUGAAGAGGGAAACAACCCAGACCGCCAGCUAAGGUCCCAAAGUCAUGGUUAAGUGGGAAACGAUGUGGGAAGGCACAGACAGCCAGGAUGUUGGCUUAGAAGCAGCCAUCAUUUAAAGAAAGCGUAAUAGCUCACUGGUCGAGUCGGCCUGCGCGGAAGAUGUAACGGGGCUAAACCAUGCACCGAAGCUGCGGCAGCGACACUAUGUGUUGUUGGGUAGGGGAGCGUUCUGUAAGCCUGCGAAGGUGACCUGUGAGGGUUGCUGGAGGUAUCAGAAGUGCGAAUGCUGACAUAAGUAACGAUAAAGCGGGUGAAAAGCCCGCUCGCCGGAAGACCAAGGGUUCCUGUCCAACGUUAAUCGGGGCAGGGUGAGUCGACCCCUAAGGCGAGGCCGAAAGGCGUAGUCGAUGGGAAACAGGUUAAUAUUCCUGUACUUGGUGUUACUGCGAAGGGGGGACGGAGAAGGCUAUGUUAGCCGGGCGACGGUUGUCCCGGUUUAAGCAUGUAGGCUGGUUAUCCAGGCAAAUCCGGAUAAUCAAGGCUGAGGUGUGAUGACGAGGCACUACGGUGCUGAAGUAACAAAUGCCCUGCUUCCAGGAAAAGCCUCUAAGCAUCAGGUAACAUCAAAUCGUACCCCAAACCGACACAGGUGGUCAGGUAGAGAAUACCAAGGCGCUUGAGAGAACUCGGGUGAAGGAACUAGGCAAAAUGGUGCCGUAACUUCGGGAGAAGGCACGCUGGUGUGUAGGUGAAGCCCCUGCGGGUGGAGCUGAGACCAGUCGAAGAUACCAGCUGGCUGCAACUGUUUAUUAAAAACACAGCACUGUGCAAACACGAAAGUGGACGUAUACGGUGUGACGCCUGCCCGGUGCCGGAAGGUUAAUUGAUGGGGUUAUCCGUAAGGAGAAGCUCUUGAUCGAAGCCCCGGUAAACGGCGGCCGUAACUAUAACGGUCCUAAGGUAGCGAAAUUCCUUGUCGGGUAAGUUCCGACCUGCACGAAUGGCGUAAUGAUGGCCAGGCUGUCUCCACCCGAGACUCAGUGAAAUUGAACUCGCUGUGAAGAUGCAGUGUACCCGCGGCAAGACGGAAAGACCCCGUGAACCUUUACUAUAGCUUGACACUGAACAUUGAGCCUUGAUGUGUAGGAUAGGUGGGAGGCUUUGAAGCGUGGACGCCAGUCUGCGUGGAGCCAACCUUGAAAUACCACCCUUUAAUGUUUGAUGUUCUAACGUUGGCCCCUUACCGGGGUUGCGGACAGUGUCUGGUGGGUAGUUUGACUGGGGCGGUCUCCUCCCAAAGCGUAACGGAGGAGCACGAAGGUUAGCUAAUCCUGGUCGGACAUCAGGAGGUUAGUGCAAUGGCAUAAGCUAGCUUGACUGCGAGCGUGACGGCGCGAGCAGGUGCGAAAGCAGGUCAUAGUGAUCCGGUGGUUCUGAAUGGAAGGGCCAUCGCUCAACGGAUAAAAGGUACUCCGGGGAUAACAGGCUGAUACCGCCCAAGAGUUCAUAUCGACGGCGGUGUUUGGCACCUCGAUGUCGGCUCAUCACAUCCUGGGGCUGAAGUAGGUCCCAAGGGUAUGGCUGUUCGCCAUUUAAAGUGGUACGCGAGCUGGGUUUAGAACGUCGUGAGACAGUUCGGUCCCUAUCUGCCGUGGGCGCUGGAGAAUUGAGGGGGGCUGCUCCUAGUACGAGAGGACCGGAGUGGACGCAUCACUGGUGUUCGGGUUGUCAUGCCAAUGGCACUGCCCGGUAGCUAAAUGCGGAAGAGAUAAGUGCUGAAAGCAUCUAAGCACGAAACUUGCCCCGAGAUGAGUUCUCCCUGAGACUUUAAGUCUCCUGAAGGAACGUUAAAGACGAUGACGUUGAUAGGCCGGGUGUGUAAGCGCAGCGAUGCGUUGAGCUAACCGGUACUAAUGAACCGUGAGGCUUAACCUU